GAUGAACGCUGGCGGCGUGCCUAAUACAUGCAAGUCGAGCGAACAGAUAAGGAGCUUGCUCCUUUGACGUUAGCGGCGGACGGGUGAGUAACACGUGGGUAACCUACCUAUAAGACUGGAAUAACUCCGGGAAACCGGGGCUAAUGCCGGAUAACAUUUAGAACCGCAUGGUUCUAAAGUGAAAGAUGGUUUUGCUAUCACUUAUAGAUGGACCCGCGCCGUAUUAGCUAGUUGAUAAGGUAACGGCUUACCAAGGCAACGAUACGUAGCCGACCUGAGAGGGUGAUCGGCCACACUGGAACUGAGACACGGUCCAGACUCCUACGGGAGGCAGCAGUAGGGAAUCUUCCGCAAUGGGCGAAAGCCUGACGGAGCAACGCCGCGUGAGUGAUGAAGGUCUUCGGAUCGUAAAACUCUGUUAUUAGGGAAGAACAAAUGUGUAAGUAACUGUGCACGUCUUGACGGUACCUAAUCAGAAAGCCACGGCUAACUACGUG
rnacentral:rRNA from 1 species